ensembl:snRNA
ACCAUCCGUUUCUUGGGGUUCCGUGACUGUUCAAUGAGCGGGUAGUGAGGGCAAUCCUGCUCACCCCAGAAUGGUAUUACACUAUAGUGGGUGUCAGAGGAGCGUCCCGGGUCACUGCCACUGUACAAGACAGGAUAGAGUGAUUUAUCCAUAG